rnacentral:rRNA from 1 species
GUCCACGCCCUAAACGAUGCGAACUGGACGUUGGGAGCAAUUAGGCUCUCAGUGUCGAAGCUAACGCGUUAAGUUCGCCGCCUGGGGAGUACGGUCGCAAGACUGAAACUCAAAGGAAUUGACGGGGGCCCCGCACAAGCGGUGGAGUAUGUGGUUUAAUUCGAUGCAACGCGAAGAACCUUACCUGGCCUUGACAUCCACGGAAGUCUGCAGAGAUGCGGAUGUGCCUUCGGGAACCGUGAGACAGGUGCUGCAUGGCUGUCGU